UACGUAGGUCCCGAGCGUUGUCCGGAUUUAUUGGGCGUAAAGCGAGCGCAGGUGGUUUAUUAAGUCUGGUGUAAAAGGCAGUGGCUCAACCAUUGUAUGCAUUGGAAACUGGUAGACUUGAGUGCAGGAGAGGAGAGUGGAAUUCCAUGUGUAGCGGUGAAAUACGUAGAUAUAUGGAGGAACACCGGUGGCGAAAGCGGCUCUCUGGCCUGUAACUGGCACUGAGGCUCGAAAGCGUGGGGAGCAAACAGG
rnacentral:rRNA from 1 species